GGAGGGCAGCCUGCUCUCCCAGAUACACCUCGUGCCGAAACCCCUCGCAUCCUGGAAAAAAACUCUCUCUCUCCGGAAUCGUUUGGCCUCCAGAUCCUAGCCAGGUGGCGGCGAUCGCGUGCCGCCGGACGUCGUCCGUUUCUGGCGUCUCGUGCAGGAGGCGCGCCGCCGCCGGCGGCUUGAUCACGCCGCUGGAGGAACGCCGAUCGUCCCUGCCUCUGUUUCGUCGCAUCCGGCGGCUCACUUAGUUAGGUGCGCGUUCGUGCAGUGGGUGCGUGCGUUUGCAUUUUGGCCGUGUGUUGUUUGUGGUGUGAAGAAUGUUUUUUUUUCGCGGUAGGGUUUUCGGGGCCCGUUUCCGAGAAUUUUGACGCGUUUGUUGCUUUCGCUGCGGCUAGUCCGGUUUUCCAAUCCGCUUCACGUCGGCGGAAGCGUGGGAGAGGCGGUGCAGUGGGGUCUUCGUUUUCGCUCAUCCGUAUCUUGUCUCACCUGUUGAGUGUGGUUUUUUAUAUCCUACUUCUCUAAAAGAUUCUCUCUCACG
rnacentral:lncRNA from 7 species